rnacentral:rRNA from 1 species
AGUGAACGCUGGCGGUAGGCCUAACACAUGCCAGUCGAACGGCAGCACAGUAAGAGCUUGCUCUUACGGGUGGCGAGUGGCGGACGGGUGAGGAAUACAUCGGAAUCUACUUUUUCGUGGGGGAUAACGUAGGGAAACUUACGCUAAUACCGCAUACGACCUACGGGUGAAAGCAGGGGAUCUUCGGACCUUGCGCGAUUGAAUGAGCCGAUGUCGGAUUAGCUAGUUGGCGGGGUAAAGGCCCACCAAGGCGACGAUCCGUAGCUGGUCUGAGAGGAUGAUCAGCUACACUGGAACUGAGACACGGUCCAGACUCCUACGGGAGGCAGCAGUGGGGAAUAUUGGACAAUGGGCGCAAGCCUGAUCCAGCCAUACCGCGUGGGUGAAGAGGGCCUUCGGGUUGUAAAGCCCUUUUGUUGGGAAAGAAAAGCAGCAGGUUAAUACCCCGCUGUUCUGACGGUACCCAAAGAAUAAGCACCGGCUAACUUCGUG